UUGACUGGGGCGGUCUCCUCCUAAAGAGUAACGGAGGAGCACGAAGGUUGGCUAAUCCUGGUCGGACAUCAGGAGGUUAGUGCAAUGGCAUAAGCCAGCUUGACUGCGAGCGUGACGGCGCGAGCAGGUGCGAAAGCAGGUCAUAGUGAUCCGGUGGUUCUGAAUGGAAGGGCCAUCGCUCAACGGAUAAAAGGUACUCCGGGGAUAACAGGCUGAUACCGCCCAAGAGUUCAUAUCGACGGCGGUGUUUGGCACCUCGAUGUCGGCUCAUCACAUCCUGGGGCUGAAGUAGGUCCCAAGGGUAUGGCUGUUCGCCAUUUAAAGUGGUACGCGAGCUGGGUUUAGAACGUCGUGAGACAGUUCGGUCCCUAUCUGCCGUGGGCGCUGGAGAACUGAGGGGGGCUGCUCCUAGUACGAGAGGACCGGAGUGGACGCAUCACUGGUGUUCGGGUUGUCAUGCCAAUGGCACUGCCCGGUAGCUAAAUGCGGAAGAGAUAAGUGCUGAAAGCAUCUAAGCACGAAACUUGCCCCGAGAUGAGUUCUCCCUGACCCUUUAAGGGUCCUGAAGGAACGUUGAAGACGACGACGUUGAUAGGCCGGGUGUGUAAGCGCAGCGAUGCGUUGAGCUAACCGGUACUAAUGAACCGUGAGG
rnacentral:rRNA from 1 species